rnacentral:rRNA from 1 species
AGAGUUUGAUCCUGGCUCAGGACGAACGCUGGCGGCGUGCCUAACACAUGCAAGUCGAGCGAUGAACCCUUCGGGGGGAUUAGCGGCGGACGGGUGAGUAACACGUGGGUAACCUGCCUCAAAGAGGGGGAUAGCCUUCCGAAAGGAAGAUUAAUACCGCAUAACAUUAGAGUUUCGCAUGAAGCUUUAAUCAAAGGAGCAAUCCGCUUUGAGAUGGACCCGCGGCGCAUUAGCUAGUUGGUGAGGUAACGGCUCACCAAGGCGACGAUGCGUAGCCGACCUGAGAGGGUGAUCGGCCACAUUGGAACUGAGACACGGUCCAGACUCCUACGGGAGGCAGCAGUGGGGAAUAUUGCACAAUGGGCGAAAGCCUGAUGCAGCAACGCCGCGUGAGUGAUGAAGGCCUUCGGGUUGUAAAGCUCUGUCUUCUGGGACGAUAAUGACGGUACCAGAGGAGGAAGCCACGGCUAACUACGUGCCAGCAGCCGCGGUAAUACGUAGGUGGCAAGCGUUGUCCGGAUUUACUGGGCGUAAAGGAUGCGUAGGCGGAUAUGUAAGUCAGAUGUGAAAUACCCGGGCUUAACUUGGGUGCUGCAUUUGAAACUGCAUGUCUAGAGUGCGGGAGAGGAGAGUGGAAUUCCUAGUGUAGCGGUGAAAUGCGUAGAGAUUAGGAAGAACACCAGUGGCGAAGGCGACUCUCUGGACCGUAACUGACGCUGAGGCAUGAAAGCGUGGGGAGCAAACAGGAUUAGAUACCCUGGUAGUCCACGCCGUAAACGAUGGGUACUAGGUGUGGGAGGUAUCGACCCCUUCCGUGCCGCAGUUAACACAAUAAGUACCCCGCCUGGGGAGUACGGUCGCAAGAUUAAAACUCAAAGGAAUUGACGG